ACGCUCGACACCUACGGGGGCAGCAGUGGGGAAUAUUGCACAAUGGGGGAAACCCUGAUGCAGCGACGCCGCGUGAGCGAAGAAGUAUCUCGGUAUGUAAAGCUCUAUCAGCAGGGAAGAAGAUGACGGUACCUGACUAAGAAGCACCGGCUAAAUACGUGUCAGCAGCCGCGGUAAUCUGAGCGGGCUGGCAAGGC
rnacentral:rRNA from 1 species